rnacentral:rRNA from 1 species
UUCCAUGGCCAUGCCACCCUGAACACGCCUGAUGUCAUCUGAUGUCGGAAGCUAACCAAGGUCAGGCCUGGUUAGUACUUGGGAUAAAAAAAACCAAACUGAAAAUAAAAACAAUUGAGU